AUACGUAGGGGGCGAGCGUUGUCCGGAAUGAUUGGGCGUAAAGGGCGCGUAGGCGGCCUGUUAAGUCUGGAGUGAAAGUCCUGUUUUCAAGAUGGGACUUGCUUUGGAUACUGAUGGGCUUGAGUGCAGGAGAGGUUAUCGGAAUUCCCGGUGUAGCGGUGAAAUGCGUAGAGAUCGGGAGGAACACCAGUGGCGAAGGCGGGUAACUGGACUGCAACUGACGCUGAGGCGCGAAAGUGUGGGGAACAAACAGGAUUAGAUACCCUGGUAGUCCACACUGUAAACGAUGAAUGCUAGGUGUAAGAGGUAUCGACCCCUUUUGUGCCGGAGUUAACACAAUAAGCAUUCCGCCUGGGGAGUACGGCCGCAAGGUUGAAACUCAAAUGAAUUGACGGGG
rnacentral:rRNA from 1 species